rnacentral:rRNA from 1 species
GGUGAAAGAAAUUAUCGUGAGGCGCACUGCGCGUGAGUGAGCGGUCUCGGAUUGAAAGCUCUUUUUGGGGGGGACCUUGUUGAGUACCGCUCGUACACUGACAGUUCCUAGCAAAAAGGGCGGCUUAAACGUGCCCGCCGCCGCGAUUUAAGAAGCCUGAUCCAGCCAUGCCGCGUGUGUG